GACCGCUCCGGUGGCCUAGUGGUUAGAGCGUCCGCCUAGGAUGCGUGAGGUCGCGGGUUUGAACUCUGCCCGAGUCA